GACGAACGCUGGCGGCGUGCUUAACACAUGCAAGUCGAACGGAAAGGCCCUGCUUUUGUGGGGUGCUCGAGUGGCGAACGGGUGAGUAACACGUGAGUAACCUGCCCUUGACUUUGGGAUAAAUUCAGGAAACUGGGGCUAAUACCGGAUAGGAGCUCCUGCUGCACGGUGGGGGUUGGAAAGUUUCGGCGGUUGGGGAUGGACUCGCGGCUUAUCAGCUUGUUGGUGGGGUAGUGGCUUACCAAGGCGUUGACGGGUAGCCGGCCUGGGAGGGUGACCGGCCACAUUGGGACUGGGAUACGGCCCAGACUCCUACGGGAGGCAGCGGUGGGGAAUAUUGCACAAUGGGCGGAAGCCUGAUGCAGCAACGCCGCGUGCGGGAUGACGGCCUGCGGGUUGUAAACCGCUUUCGCCUGUGACGAAGCGUGAGUGACGGUAAUGGGUAAAGAAGCACCGGCUAACUACGUG
rnacentral:rRNA from 1 species